rnacentral:sRNA from 2 species
GGUUGUGAGGAAUUUUAUCCAUAAAAUAUUCCCAUUUUUUAAAUUCAAUGUACCUAUGAGGAACUGAUCCAUAAGAAAAAAAUUGUAUCCUAUCGAGAAUUAUUUUUUGAACUUGUUUAUUACCACCGUUAGCCAAUUCGCAUAAUUGUUUCAUUGUUAAACUAUCAUAGUUGAUUGUUGUUGAAUUACACACGAUAAAAUUUCUCGUAGUAGAGUUUGCUAAACAUUGAUGAUAUUCUUUGGAAUAUAUUACAGAGCUACAUUUAUCACAUAAAUUUUCCAUAAUUCAAAACAAUUAUGUAAUACUAAUACUGACAUAUUAGUCAGUUGAAAUAUUUGGUUCAAUCAAUUUUUUUCGGGCUUCAUUAAUAUUAUUGAUAAUAUAUUAUCAAUAACA